ACGUCUUCCUUGAUUUGGAUGACUCGAUAAGCUUGAACUCUUUGGCGUGGACAUCAGCUGAGAUAGAGGUUGAGUUGGAGAUGGAGAUUACUUCAGUCAGCUUGAUUCGGAGAUGACCCUGUAUAGAUAAAAGGGGUUAUCCUCUUGAUUCUGCACUUCACUCAUUCAGAGGUGCAAAUGAAGGUAGGAAUUUUGACAACGCCAUCUCACCGCUAGGAAUUGGUGGAAAGUGAGUCCAGAUUUCUCACAUAGAAAUGAGGAGACUUCUGCUUCACGGCUUGGUCCCAGUUUUCUGGUUGCUUUCCUUCUUGCCUGCAGGUUGCUGGAAGCACUCCAAGAGAACAUCAAGGGUGAGCUUUCUUCUCCAGACACCAAUUUUAUGUUUUGUAUGGUUGAUGUCCAGGCUGAUCUGUUCUUUGCGGGGCUUAUUUUGCAACUGGUGCAAGGCCAUUUGUUCAGUUGCGGUGGAAAGGAAGGCAGGAGGUAGAAGGCUUUUGGUGGGGACUGUUGUUGAAUUUCAGAGCAAAUGAUACUCCGUUUGCUGCUGCAAAGCGCUUGUUGGUACUCAACAAGGCUUAAAAAGAAAUUCCACCAGAUUGGUCAUAGUCAUACACUCGUUGAUACACCUGUAUCGUAAACGAGAUUGCGCCCGCUCUGGGGACCUCCACAGCUCCAUGGUGACACAAGUAAAAGAGACACUGCAAAAAGAAAGAAAUAGCACUUGUAGGUCAGAGAGGCUUCAACCUUUUCGUCGUCUGCUUGUCGUCUCCUCCUUCGAACAAAGUCGCUAAACACUUCAUCUCUUCUCUGCAGCAGGGCUUUGCCUUUCUCUUGAUGUGUAUUCUGUAUCCUUAACUUUGUGCUUGCUUUUAUAGAGUGUCUUGGAGAUAAGAUUGAGUCUUGAUUUUGAAUUCGAAUAAUCUUAUCUCGAGAUAGCUGGUUGUGCAUGGCAAUGAGUUUGUUAAAAUCAAUUUGAGCCAAGCCCACAGAAUCUGUAUAAAUUUGGAUAUCAUGACUUGAAUUUGAAUUUGAAUGUUUUGAUGUGCUACCAUAUCACCUCCCAGCUUUACACGGAUAAUGUCUACCGUGUUCAAACUUUUGACAAGGCAUUUACUUUGACUAUUGUUUGUUACCAUUUGAAUUUGAUGGUUAUCUUGGAAGCUACUCCAAUAGAAAAUCAUGGCUUGUUUUAUUUUUUAUUUUUUAAACAAGCACUUGGAGGUGGAACAUUAGGCCGAGGCGCCGGCACUGGAGGUGAAGAACACGUAGCUAGGGUUUUCAAUUUGAUUUUUUCGUUUUAAAUUUUUUUGAAUUUGAUCCCAACAUUUGUUCAAUUCAAUCCAUAAGCGAAGCUUCCGUGAUAUCCAAGCUUAGUAUCUGAAAGUUUGAUUUGUCAAAUUUGAAUUUGUUCGGUUCUGGACUUUCAUAUGUAUGUGUUAUUUGGUCAAUUUGGAUUUGUAUAUCAGUUUGAUAUGAUUCUUUCCCUUUAAAUUUACAUGUUACAGAGGUGUUAGGAAAGAUUUGAUGGAGUGGCAGGAACAUACAUGCCACUUUGGUUCACACUACUGAGAAGGUCAAUUUCUGCUUCUCUCUGUUCAAUUUUGAUUGAAUGCGUCAAAUAACUAGAUAUUCCAUUCGAUAUGUUGCUAAGCUACUUAAUUAAGAUUCUAGGUUCUGGAAAAUAGUAAAAGAAGGUGAAAUCCACUGUAAAAUUGUUAGCCGGGUCUUCAUACCACAACACAUUUCAAAGAUGUGUUGUGGAUGUGUAAUUUCUCUUAUCAUUCGUCACAGUCCAGGCUUCAGCUUCUCUUGAAACAAGCACAUUUCUCUAUCAUUCGUCAUAUUUCAACCUGGGAUGCAUGUCCAAUGGAAGUCAAUAUUGGAGGGGACAAGGAAACAUCAAUUGAGCAUCAGGCAUUGUCUUCCCCUACCCUUCAGAUACAUCAGUGAUUAGUUGAGCAUGAUCUAGUAGAGUUAUAGCAUAGACCAAACCUAGGAGGGUACUAAAGAGGUUAAACACUUUAGAGACAUGAGAAUGAUGCAUCAGAUGGUUUUCUUGAGAGAUUAAUGUUUGAGUGUGAUAUAGGUGAUCAUGACUGUCAGGCGCUUAAGAGGUUACAAACAGCACCAGUUCGAGACAUGUUCUUAAAGCAUUGAAAGAAGGCAUGAGGGUACUGAAGGCUGCCAGUUCGAAGACCUUCCUGUUUGGUUAUGAUACUCUUCUUCCUCUGAUGCUGGAAGAGUCCCUAUGAAGUACAUUUUAGAAAGAUUGCAAGCACCCUUCUGUGUAUGAAAUUGGGAUAUUAGGCUUCAAAGUUUUAUGAUUCAAUUAUAUAUCCAAAGAUACAUUAUG